rnacentral:tRNA from 1 species
GGAGAGAUGGCGGAGCGGUUGAACGCGUCGGUCUUGAAAACCGAAGGCCCUUCACGGGGCUCGUGGGUUCGAAUCCCACUCUCUCCU